UACGUAGGUGGCAAGUGUUGUCCGGAUUUACUGGGCGUAAAGGAUGCGUAGGCGGACAUUUAAGUCAGAUGUGAAAUACCCGGGCUCAACUUGGGUGCUGCAUUUGAAACUGGGUGUCUAGAGUGCAGGAGAGGAAAGCGGAAUUCCGAGUGUAGCGGUGAAAUGCGUAGAGAUUAGGAAGAACACCAGUGGCGAAGGCGGCUUUCUGGACUGUAACUGACGCUGAGGCAUGAAAGCGUGGGGAGCAAACAGG
rnacentral:rRNA from 1 species